rnacentral:rRNA from 1 species
UUAAUGGAGAGUUUGAUCCUGGCUCAGGACGAACGCUGGCGGCGUGCCUAAUACAUGCAAGUCGAGCGAGGGUCUUCGGACCCUAGCGGCGGACGGGUGAGUAACACGUAGGCAACCUGCCUGUAAGACUGGGAUAACAUAGGGAAACUUAUGCUAAUACCGGAUAGGGUUUUGCUUCUCCUG